rnacentral:rRNA from 1 species
UACGCGUGCGGCAGCAUACACUAUACAAGUGAGCGGAUACGGGAGCUUGCUCCUUGAUUCAGCGGCGGUGAGUAAUGCCUAGGAAUCUGCCUGGUAGUGGGGGACAACGUUUCGAAAGGAACGCUAAUACCGCAUACGUCCUACGGGAGAAAGCAGGGGACCUUCGGGCCUUGCGCUAUCAGAUGAGCCUAGGUCGGAUUAGCUAGUUGGUGAGGUAAUGGCUCACCAAUGCGACGAUCCGUAACUGGUCUGAGAGGAUGAUCAGUCACACUGGAACUGAGACACGGUCCAGACUCCUACGGGAGGCAGCAGUGGGGAAUAUUGGACAAUGGGCGAAAGCCUGAUCCAGCCAUGCCGCGUGUGUGAGAAGUCUCGAUGUAAGCCUUAAGUUGGGAGGAGGGCGAAGCAUACUGCUGUUGACGU